UACGUAGGGUGCGAGCGUUGUCCGGAAUUAUUGGGCGUAAAGGGCUCGUAGGCGGUUUGUCACGUCGGGAGUGAAAACUCGGGGCUCAACCCCGAGCCUGCUUCCGAUACGGGCAGACUAGAGGUAUGCAGGGGAGAAUGGAAUUCCUGGUGUAGCGGUGAAAUGCGCAGAUAUCAGGAGGAACACCGGUGGCGAAGGCGGUUCUCUGGGCAUUACCUGACGCUGAGGAGCGAAAGUGUGGGGAGCAAACAGG
rnacentral:rRNA from 1 species